AUACGUAGGGGGCGAGCGUUGUCCGGAAUGAUUGGGCGUAAAGGGCGCGUAGGCGGCCCGGUAAGUCUGAAGUGAAAGUCCUGUUUUUAAGAUGGGAAUUGCUUUGGAUACUGUCGGGCUUGAGUGCAGGAGAGGUAAGUGGAAUUCCCAGUGUAGCGGUGAAAUGCGUAGAGAUUGGGAGGAACACCAGUGGCGAAGGCGACUUACUGGACUGUAACUGACGCUGAGGCGCGAAAGUGUGGGGAGCAAACAGGAUUAGAUACCCUGGUGGUCCACACUGUAAACGAUGAAUGCUAGGUGUAGGGGGUAUCGACCCCUUCUGUGCCGCAGUCAACACAAUAAGCAUUCCGCCUGGGGAGUACGGCCGCAAGGUUGAAACUCAAAGGAAUUGACGGGG
rnacentral:rRNA from 1 species